UGCUGCUGUUGCAUUGCCCACUGCCGGGGCGCUGGAACGAUGGAGCUUUUAUACUGAUGAAGCUUGACGUCACCGAUUCGAUGGCGUCCCCUGUCAGAGUGGCCACGCAAGGAGCAUUCACAGGAGUGCGCAGAACCGCUAUAGGAAGAAAGUGCGCAGGAAAUUCACGCCAACCAUACGGCUGGACGAUAGGGCUGAACCACGACAAAUUGCCGACAAUAACCACGUGUUCAACCGGUGCAGGGCACGCCAUGCCCCGGAGACGAAUGGCAUGACCAGCGAAGAAAUCCACGAGCUGUGCAAAUAAGAAGCGUUUAGGCAACAUGCUCAAGCUGCUGCUGCUGCAUUGCCCACUCUGUUUCAAAGUUUCAAUGAGUCGUAAUUGAUUUUCGUGAUUUACAGGAAUAAUCAGAAUUCUGGUGGAAGUACAACAGAAGUGUCUAGAAAGAGUUCUGCUAAAGAUGUUUGUGAACUUCAGUUCAGACAGUGACAUCGUCCGCCACGCACCGUACGUGGAUGACGCUACACGACGCACAGUUAGUGCACCAUUAGCCCACAUCCGGCUUCGCGCAGAUGCAGUACCAUCGCUGUUUCCCGAGUGCCCGAAUUAUGUGUCAACCCUAGAAAAGACAAGAGCAAGACCAAAGGCAAGGCGACUGCGUCUUGAAUCAGUUGCAUUACAACGCGCGCUCGAACAUUCUACCGCGCCUAAACAGUUCUGUGUCAGUAAAAUCACCUUGAUAAUCA